UACGUAGGGUGCGAGCGUUGUCCGGAAUUAUUGGGCGUAAAGAGCUCGUAGGUGGCGGGUCACGUCGGGUGUGAAAGCCCGGGGCUUAACUCCGGGUCUGCAUUCGAUACGGGUCUGCUGGGGUCCGGCAGGGGAGACUGGAAUUCCUGGUGUAGCGGUGAAAUGCGCAGAUAUCAGGAGGAACACCGGUGGCGAAGGCGGGUCUCUGGGCCGGUACCGACGCUGGAGGAGCGAAAGCGUGGGGAGCGAACAGG
rnacentral:rRNA from 1 species